GUGCCAAAGAUCGUGAGAUGCAUCCACGGAAGCGUGGAGUGCAUCAGCACGGCACCAGCCCGGCAGAGACUGGACAUACUCAUCCUCUGGCUGACCAACCAGUGGCCAAUGAAGGUGGUCAGGAGCCUGCUGAAGAUCUCGCCGUCGUCUGACAGGUACUGGCAUGCCAACCUUAAGGGCUUCUUGUAUGGGAGGGGAGGGGACAGGAGACUUUCUGCCUGACGGAUCCACAGAAAACUCCACGCUACGUUUACAGAGCAGGGCCCUCCAUGCCGCCACGCUUUCCAGCCGUGGUUCCUUGGCCACAGCCAGGGCAGCCAGAGCUGACCAGGCCAGCCAGGAUCCCCGCCACCACGCUCCCUGCCCGCCCCACAUGAAUGUCAUCCCUGCCCUCUCCUGCUUGCCCAGCCAGGGCUCUCGGGGCACCCCAAGUGAGGGGGGCGGCAGGGCCAGGGCUGCAGGACAGCCUGGGGCCUGCGGGGCCUGUGCAGGCCAUGGCGCCGUGGCGGAGCGUGCCCUGCUGACUGAGUGCUCUGUCCUUGCAGCGCUGCCCUGGCCAUGUGGGAAGCAAUGUUUUCCCACAACCAGACUAUGGAGAAGGUCCUGAGGGAGACACUUGACGUGCUCCAGGACCAGCAGCUGCGCAGGCUCCCUGGCCUCAUCACAGACGACAACUGCAUCCGUCACUUGGCGGUGAGUUACCGGGCGAGGCCUUGCUCCUCUUCAGGGCCGUGCGUGUGCCUCUGCCCAUCUACCCCCAAACUGGCAGCUCCUCCAGGACGUACGUGCAGGAGGAGCAGGCAAAGAAAGGCUGCUGGGUGCUGCCAGGCACGGGGCACUCGGGGGCCCUGCGGCCCUCCACAGCCACAGCUGCCCCAGGACGGGCUGCCUGGCCCCGGUGCCCCUGGCCUGAGCCGCCAGGAGAGCCAGGAGCCGCACGGUGCCUGCAGCCCUGCAGGCUCUGGCAGUCUCUCGAUGCUGUGUUCAUUUCAGCUGCUGGCCCGCGCGGAUGUUGGACAAGAGGACUUGGAUGCCGUGUACCAUCUCCAGAGGCUCUUGAAGCAUCCCAGCCAAGCGAUGCACUCACUGGUGCUCCACGUUCUCCUCCCCGUGUCAGAGAGACCUGCAAUGGCAAGAAGAAUUCCGGUCCUGCUGCCAGGCAUCAUGGAGGGCCUGCAGGCUGCCAAGGCUGACACCAAGUUGAAGGCCCUGCUUCUCAUCGGAAACGUCAUGGGUCAUGUGAAGAGGAAGCAGGCCAGCUCCAUCGCUCUGCAAGUGGCUGGGGAGAUCCUGCCACUGUUUAACGACGAGUGCAGCCAGGUGCAAGAGCUCUCCAUCUGCCUCUACAACAAAGUGAUGCAGCUUGUGUUACGGUGCCACAGGAGACAGAUGAAGAAGAUCGUGCGGAGGGGCCUGCUCCCACUCUUUUUUCACCUGAGCGACCAGACCCAGAGCGUGGCCAAGGUCCGUACGUCAGACCUGACUAGAGGGACUAGCACACUGCCGCCACAGGGGUUGCCUUGUGGGGAGGCAAGGCUUGCAGCCAGGUCCCCUUCCCUGGGCUGUGGUGCCAUCCCUCAGCUUCUGCUGCUCUGCAGGCCUCCGUGGAAGCCCUUGUCACCGCUGCAGACUUCCUGAAGCGGGAAGAACUCAAGCGCCUGGCCCAGACAGAGCAGACCUGGAGGAUCGCAGAGUGCUUGGUAACGACGACGCCCUGGUCCCAGCUCGAUAAUCCUGCCCAGCUUCCCCAGAGCACGCCGCCUAAAGCCGCAUCCUUGCUCCCUUCCCUCCGGCACAGAGCCCAGAGCGCUCCUCUGCAGGCCCCUCUCCCCUCCCCGUCCCCUGGAAGCUGAAGGAGCCCCUGGCCCACCUGGGUCUCAGCAGCAGGACAGAGGGGGCUGAGCACCCCCCAGCCCCCUUGGCCAGCGGCUCUCUCCAAACCUCAGCCCCACAGGGCUGGUGGCUGGGAGAUGGGAACGGCCGGAGGGGAAGGGGGGGCGUUGGCAGGAGGGGGUGGUCUGUCCAGCUGGGCAGGGUCUGCCAGCCCCGUAACCUUGUGCUCUCUCCAGCUCGUGCAGGACAAGAGGAUGGUGGAGGAAUACCUGCAGCAGAGCCUGCCGUACCUGCAGCACACUCAGGUCACCUUGCGCGAGGCAGCCGUGAGGUUCAUCGGUGAGCCACAGCCCCCGGCGUCCCUCUUUUGGCAGCCUUUGGCAGCCCCAGCUUCUGCAGUGCCCAGAGAGUCCCUCCCCGUCCUGGACUGGGUCCCCAGGGGCCCCGUGCCACCCC
rnacentral:lncRNA from 1 species